UGAGGAAUAUUGGACAAUGGGGGCAACCCUGAUCCAGCCAUGCCGCGUGCAGGAAGACUGCCCUAUGGGUUGUAAACUGCUUUUGUACGGGAAGAAACACCCCCACGUGUGGGGGCUUGACGGUACCGUAAGAAUAAGGAUCGGCUAACUCCGUGCCAGCAGCCGCGGUAAUACGGAGGAUCCGAGCGUUAUCCGGAAUCAUUGGGUUUAAAGGGUCCGUAGGCGGGCCAUUAAGUCAGGGGUGAAAGUUUGCGGCUCAACCGUAAAAUUGCCUUUGAUACUGGUGGUCUUGAAUCGUUGUGAAGUGGCUAGAAUGUGUAGUGUAGCGGUGAAAUGCAUAGAUAUUACACAGAAUACCGAUUGCGAAGGCAGGUCACUAACAACGCAUUGACGCUGAGGGACGAAAGCGUGGGGAGCGAACAGGAUUAGAUACCCCCGUAGUCC
rnacentral:rRNA from 1 species